AGAGUUUGAUCCUGGCUCAGAUUGAACGCUGGCGGCAUGCCUUACACAUGCAAGUCGAACGGCAGCGCGGGGCAACCUGGCGGCGAGUGGCGAACGGGUGAGUAAUAUAUCGGAACGUACCCUGGAGUGGGGGAUAACGUAGCGAAAGUUACGCUAAUACCGCAUACGAUCUAAGGAUGAAAGUGGGGGAUCGCAAGACCUCAUGCUCCUGGAGCGGCCGAUAUCUGAUUAGCUAGUUGGUGGGGUAAAGGCCUACCAAGGCAUCGAUCAGUAGCUGGUCUGAGAGGACGACCAGCCACACUGGGACUGAGACACGGCCCAGACUCCUACGGGAGGCAGCAGUGGGGAAUUUUGGACAAUGGGGGCAACCCUGAUCCAGCAAUGCCGCGUGA
rnacentral:rRNA from 1 species